GGGAAGGAGGAGGGAUGCCCGUCGCGGAGUCCUCGAAACUGCCGUCCGUCCGGGGGAGCCCCGCUGUCAUCCGAUGGAGUAGCCCAACCGCCCGGAUGCAGUGAACAGCCGCCGUCCGCGAGGCGAGUGGGGACUGGACUCUUGAAGUGAUGGAGCUGCUGCCAGGGCCCUGAAACGCGGAGGUGUCGAAAGAAGACUGCCGUUCGCGAGGGGAGGAGGGAAGUGACUCCCCGACCACCUGGAGCGGUAGGGCCGCUGCCAGGGGCAGGAGUAUCCCCACGAGUCGCCGGGAACGCCGAGGGACGUUCUGUCCACCGGGGGUCGUGGGUCUCACUCCGGUCCACCCGGGGAGGAGCGGCUGUCGUCUGCCUGAGAGGGUGGAGGAGUGAUCGAGGACCAUGUGACGGUGUAUCAGAGAACCUGUGCUGUCACCAAUUUGUAGCGUGUUUUGGCCAGGCGAGGUGACGGAACGACUUCUUGAUAAACAGAGAAGCAGUGCUUCGAUUUUCCAUCCAGAGGCAUUUGGAAACACAUGGGUCUCUGAACCGGCAAUCAAGGUGGCGGAGACUGGUGCUUACCAAUAGAGUAAUGCCUGCACAAAACAUUACUGACCACCCUGACUACAACUACCCAGACUGACAAAACAGAGAGAGAGAGAGAGAGAGAGAGAGAUAGAGAGAGGGAGAGGCAGGAUGCAAAUAUCCUUUCUAAAUACACACACAAACACACAACUUUCAACAGCAUAGAUAAUAUGCGAUGACUGAAUUACUUGCAUGUGUGAUGAGGCUGAUGAUAUGGUGGCAUAUAUACACUCAGUGGCAAACUCCACACACACUCACACUCAAUAAACACAGCAAAAGUGUAAUGUGCAGUGUCACGCCUCUCAGCCACUAUCAGCAUUUAAAAGACCACCAACCGCACAGUGGUUUAAAAACUGAAGGUGGGGUGCUGAAAUCUCCCUCUUUCUGAAGAGAGUUAAGGAGAUCAGGUUGCCAAGUCUGUAGUUUUAAAGCCCUCUUCUCCCUCUGCACUCAUCAGCUGGAAAACAACUCUUGGCUAAGCAUCGGUGAUCAAACGCUGCAGUCUCUGGAUGCGUGCCAUCAGGACAGUAAGGCUAAUAGGAUUGGGAGCCCCCAGGUGAGCUGAGGGUGCUCUGUGAGUGCUACUGAUUAGCCAGCAGUUAACGUGUAUGCUGACAUAGCAAGACACGGGAAGGAAAUUUGCCAGGAAGCUGUAAGCCAGACAGAAUCAUGUUGCUAUACCUACAUUUUUACUUUUGGUAAAAAGGAAUUCAGCCAUACAUGUUUGAGCCAGAGUCUAAUCACGAAUCUGAUGAAAUUGAAUCCCCUCCACAAACACCACGGAUACUGCAGUCUGUGACAGCAUGCUCUUACCACGAACCUGUGGGCGAGCCAAAGAGGUGAUGAUGAAGUAGUAGGCGUUGACCUGUUUAUGCAGCAGCAGACUCGCACUGACGUAUUCAUCUCUAUUACGUAAUACAGGUGAGGAAAUUGAAAAUGAGUCAUUUAGAAUUAUUGGUUUAAAUAAAGUUUUGAGUUCUGAAACUUACAGUAUGUUUUUAUAGUACUAUGACUUCUAUUCUCAAUUCAUAACCCUUUUAAACACCUCGUAUGUUUGAGAAAUAUAUUCAUAAAAGCAAUAUUGCUGUUGUAUUCAAUAUCAGAGUGAUGAUAAUGUGCUGUUAUACUAAAUAUCAGUACUCUUUAAAUCUGCUUUUCCAAUCAGAUUUGGGCACCUCAUUUUUAUUGUAACAAUUAACAGCAUAUCAUAAUCAGAAAAAUGUACCGUAUUUUCAGGA